AUGCUUUAGCAGCACAUAUACUAAAACUGAAAUGAUACAGAGAAGAUUAGCAUGGCCCUGCGCAAGGAUGACACGCAAAUUCGUGAAGUGUUUCAUUUAAAA